AAUGAAGUAAACGCUAUCAAGUGGGAUCCUCAGGGUAAUCUUUUGGCUUCCUGUUCUCACGAUAUUGUGUACAGUGUCGCAUUUUCUCCCGAUGGCAAAUACCUAGCAUCUGGUAGCUUUGACUAAUGUGUACACAGCUGGUCUACUCAGUCGGGGCAAUUGUUACACAGCUACAAAGGAACUAGAGGCAUUUUUGAAGUUUGCUGGAAUUCUCGGGGCGAUAAAGUUGGAGCAAGUGCUUUUGACGGAAGUGUAUUUGCUGGGAUAACUGAACAGAAGUUUUAAAGAAAGACGGAAACAAUUGACAAGGCAAAAGAUUGGGAACCUGAAUGCUAUUCAGGUAACCAGUGCCAAUACAUUUUAUGUGGUACAUGUAACAAGACACUUGUGUUCAUGAUUCGCAAGCACAAAACAAGGAAAUCUACACCAUAAAAUGGAGUCUUACCGGCCUUGGAACAAAAAACCCAAACAUGAAUCUGAUUUUGGCUAGCGCUUCGUUUGACUCGACCGUUUUGUGGGACGUUGAGCGUGGGUUGUGUAUUCAUACCUUAACCAAGCACUCCGAACCAGUGUACAGUGUCGAUAAAUAUGUUUUGAUUCGAUUUGUCAAUAAAAAUAAGAUAGAUAUGUUUUAAAAUUCAA